ACGAACGCUGGCGGCGUGCUUAACACCUGCAAGUCGCACGGAAAGGCCCUGCUUUUGUGGGGUGCUCGAGUGGCGAACGGGUGAGUAACACGUGAGUAACCUGCCCUUGACUUUGGGAUAACUUCAGGAAACUGGGGCUAAUACCGGAUAGGAGCUCCUGCUGCAUGGUGGGGGUUGGAAAGUUUCGGCGGUUGGGGACGGACUCGCGGCUUAUCAGCUUGUUGGUGGGGUAGUGGCUUACCAAGGCUUUGACGGGUAGCCGGCCUGAGAGGGUGACCGGCCACAUUGGGACUGAGAUACGGCCCAGACUCCUACGGGAGGCAGCAGUGGGGAAUAUUGCACAAUGGGCGGAAGCCUGAUGCAGCAACGCCGCGUGCGGGAUGACGGCCUUCGGGUUGUAAACCGCUUUCGCCUGUGACGAAGCGUGAGUGACGGUAAUGGGUAAAGAAGCACCGGCUAACUACGUG
rnacentral:rRNA from 1 species